GGGUUGUGAGGUUAAGCGACUAAGCGUACACGGUGGAUGCCCUGGCAGUCAGAGGCGAUGAAGGACGUGCUAAUCUGCGAAAAGCGUCGGUAAGGUGAUAUGAACCGUUAUAACCGGCGAUGUCCGAAUGGGGAAACCCAGUGCAAUUCGUUGCACUAUCGUUAACUGAAUACAUAGGUUAACGAGGCGAACCGGGGGAACUGAAACAUCUAAGUACCCCGAGGAAAAGAAAUCAACCGAGAUUCCCCCAGUAGCGGCGAGCGAACGGGGAGCAGCCCAGAGUCUGAAUCAGCUUGUGUGUUAGUGGAACGGUCUGGAAAGUCCGACGGUACAGGGUGAUAGUCCCGUACACCAAAAUGCACAGGCUGUGAACUCGAAGAGUAGGGCGGGACACGUGGUAUCCUGUCUGAAUAUGGGGGGACCAUCCUCCAAGGCUAAAUACUCCUGACUGACCGAUAGUGAACCAGUACCGUGAGGGAAAGGCGAAAAGAACCCCGGCGAGGGGAGUGAAAAAGAACCUGAAACCGUGUACGUACAAGCAGUGGGAGCACCUUCGGGUGUGACUGCGUACCUUUUGUAUAAUGGGUCAGCGACUUAUAUUCUGUAGCAAGGUUAACCGUAUAGGGGAGCCGCAGGGAAACCGAGUCUUAACUGGGCGUUAAGUUGCAGGGUAUAGACCCGAAACCCGGUGAUCUAGCCAUGGGCAGGUUGAAGGUUGGGUAACACUAACUGGAGGACCGAACCGACUAAUGUUGAAAAAUUAGCGGAUGACUUGUGGCUGGGGGUGAAAGGCCAAUCAAACCGGGAGAUAGCUGGUUCUCCCCGAAAGCUAUUUAGGUAGCGCCUCGUGAACUCAUCUUCGGGGGUAGAGCACUGUUUCGGCUAGGGGGUCAUCCCGACUUACCAACCCGAUGCAAACUACGAAUACCGAAGAAUGUUAUCACGGGAGACACACGGCGGGUGCUAACGUCCGUCGUGAAGAGGGAAACAACCCAGACCGCCAGCUAAGGUCCCAAAGUCAUGGUUAAGUGGGAAACGAUGUGGGAAGGCACAGACAGCCAGGAUGUUGGCUUAGAAGCAGCCAUCAUUUAAAGAAAGCGUAAUAGCUCACUGGUCGAGUCGGCCUGCGCGGAAGAUGUAACGGGGCUAAACCAUGCACCGAAGCUGCGGCAGCGACACUAUGUGUUGUUGGGUAGGGGAGCGUUCUGUAAGCCUGCGAAGGUGUGCUGUGAGGCAUGCUGGAGGUAUCAGAAGUGCGAAUGCUGACAUAAGUAACGAUAAAGCGGGUGAAAAGCCCGCUCGCCGGAAGACCAAGGGUUCCUGUCCAACGUUAAUCGGGGCAGGGUGAGUCGACCCCUAAGGCGAGGCCGAAAGGCGUAGUCGAUGGGAAACAGGUUAAUAUUCCUGUACUUGGUGUUACUGCGAAGGGGGGACGGAGAAGGCUAUGUUAGCCGGGCGACGGUUGUCCCGGUUUAAGCAUGUAGGCUGAUUGUCCAGGCAAAUCCGGAUAAUCAAGGCUGAGGUGUGAUGACGAGGCACUACGGUGCUGAAGUAACAAAUGCCCUGCUUCCAGGAAAAGCCUCUAAGCAUCAGGUAACAUCAAAUCGUACCCCAAACCGACACAGGUGGUCAGGUAGAGAAUACCAAGGCGCUUGAGAGAACUCGGGUGAAGGAACUAGGCAAAAUGGUGCCGUAACUUCGGGAGAAGGCACGCUGGUGUGUAGGUGAAGUCCCUGCGGAUGGAGCUGAGACCAGUCGAAGAUACCAGCUGGCUGCAACUGUUUAUUAAAAACACAGCACUGUGCAAACACGAAAGUGGACGUAUACGGUGUGACGCCUGCCCGGUGCCGGAAGGUUAAUUGAUGGGGUUAUCCGUAAGGAGAAGCUCUUGAUCGAAGCCCCGGUAAACGGCGGCCGUAACUAUAACGGUCCUAAGGUAGCGAAAUUCCUUGUCGGGUAAGUUCCGACCUGCACGAAUGGCGUAAUGAUGGCCAGGCUGUCUCCACCCGAGACUCAGUGAAAUUGAACUCGCUGUGAAGAUGCAGUGUACCCGCGGCAAGACGGAAAGACCCCGUGAACCUUUACUAUAGCUUGACACUGAACAUUGAGCCUUGAUGUGUAGGAUAGGUGGGAGGCUUUGAAGCGUGGACGCCAGUCUGCGUGGAGCCAACCUUGAAAUACCACCCUUUAAUGUUUGAUGUUCUAACGUUGGCCCCUGACCGGGGUUGCGGACAGUGUCUGGUGGGUAGUUUGACUGGGGCGGUCUCCUCCCAAAGCGUAACGGAGGAGCACGAAGGUUAGCUAAUCCUGGUCGGACAUCAGGAGGUUAGUGCAAUGGCAUAAGCUAGCUUGACUGCGAGCGUGACGGCGCGAGCAGGUGCGAAAGCAGGUCAUAGUGAUCCGGUGGUUCUGAAUGGAAGGGCCAUCGCUCAACGGAUAAAAGGUACUCCGGGGAUAACAGGCUGAUACCGCCCAAGAGUUCAUAUCGACGGCGGUGUUUGGCACCUCGAUGUCGGCUCAUCACAUCCUGGGGCUGAAGUAGGUCCCAAGGGUAUGGCUGUUCGCCAUUUAAAGUGGUACGCGAGCUGGGUUUAGAACGUCGUGAGACAGUUCGGUCCCUAUCUGCCGUGGGCGCUGGAGAAUUGAGGGGGGCUGCUCCUAGUACGAGAGGACCGGAGUGGACGCAUCACUGGUGUUCGGGUUGUCAUGCCAAUGGCACUGCCCGGUAGCUAAAUGCGGAAGAGAUAAGUGCUGAAAGCAUCUAAGCACGAAACUUGCCCCGAGAUGAGUUCUCCCUGAGACU
rnacentral:rRNA from 2 species